GAUGAACGCUGGCGGCGUGCCUAAUACAUGCAAGUCGAGCGAACAGACGAGAGUGCUUGCACUCUCUGACGUUAGCGGCGGACGGGUGAGUAACACGUAGGUAACCUACCUAUAAGACUGGGAUAACUUCGGGAAACCGGAGCUAAUACCGGAUAAUAUUUAGCUUCGCAUGAGGCAAUAGUGAAAGACGGUUCUGCUGUCACUUAUAGAUGGACCCGCGGUGUAUUAGCUAGUUGGUGAGGUAACGGCUCACCAAGGCAACGAUGCAUAGCCGACCUGAGAGGGUGAUCGGCCACACUGGGACUGAGACACGGCCCAGACUCCUACGGGAGGCAGCAGUAGGGAAUCUGCCGCAAUGGACGAAAGUCUGACGGAGCAAUGCCGCGUGAGUGAAGAAGGUGUUCGGAUCGUAAAACUCUGUUGUAAGGGAAGAACAAGUACGUUAGUAACUGAACGUACCUUGACGGUACCUUACCAGAAAGCCACGGCUAACUACGUG
rnacentral:rRNA from 1 species